rfam:Gossypium hirsutum cultivar TM-1 scaffold3502.1_1, whole genome shotgun sequence
AAUUAAAAAUUUUAUCCAUUGGUAAUGUUAAAAACUGAUGUGGUUGGCGAAAUAAUCAAAUAGUGACAUGUGACAUGCCACGUAUACUUCAUAUUGAUGUAUAGGAAUAGUUUUUAACCAUAGAAAUGAAGAGAAAUUUUAACA